UACGUAGGGGGCAAGCGUUGUCCGGAUUUAUUGGGCGUAAAGAGCGUGUAGGCGGCUUGACAAGUCUGCUGUGAAAACUCGAGGCUCAACCUCGAGAUGUCGGCGGAAACUGUCUAGCUAGAGUCCGGAAGAGGAGAGUGGAAUUCCUGGUGUAGCGGUGAAAUGCGCAGAUAUCAGGAAGAACACCUAUGGCGAAGGCAGCUCUCUGGGACGGUACUGACGCUGAGACGCGAAAGCGUGGGGAGCGAACAGG
rnacentral:rRNA from 1 species